rnacentral:rRNA from 1 species
UUCAUUGGCGUAUGUGCGCGUGCCGUGUGUUGGAAGUGGCUUUUGUUGCUCCUCGUGCGGUUCUGCGUGUGUUUGCUGUUGCCCUGUGUCAUAGUGGGACGUCAGAGUCAGUUCGUAUGCUGCGGGAAAUGGCUAUCGAGGAGGUAGGUCAGGAGCUUGCUCUUGGCUGUUAUAUCUUGGUAGCUAGUGGUCGUGGUUGGGACUGAGGUGCCUACAACGUGCUUUGGGGUCGAAUGGGUUCUUACUUGGCGCACUACUUGGAUAGCUUGCUAUGCUGGCGGUGUUGUUGGGUGAUUGAGUCUGUUUGUAACCUGUGCCGUUCGGGACUUUGACGAAAUGGAGCGAUUCGGCCCGUCUUGAAACACGGACCAAGGAGUCUAACAUGUGUGCAAGUGUUAGGGUGUGGAAACCCCAGCGCGAAAUGAAAGUGAAGGGUAGCUUACGCUGCCUGAGGUAGGAAACCUUUGUUUUCAGAGGUGGCACUAUCGACCGAUCAUGAACCUUCGUGGUGAAAGAUUUGAGUAUGAGCACAUAUGUUGGUACCCGAAAGAUGGUGAACUAUG